rnacentral:rRNA from 1 species
UCGAGGAUCUUUCGCAAUGGGCGUAAGCCUGACGAAGCGACGCUGUGUGAGGGAUGAAGGCCUUCGGGUUGUAAACCUCUUUCGCUUGGGAACAAGAAAGAGACGUGAAUAACGUUUCAAUUUGAGUGUACCAGGUAAAGAAGCACCGGCUAACUACGUGCCAGCAGCUGCGGUAAUACGUAGGGUGCAAGCAUUAAUCGGAGUUAUUGGGCGUAAAGGGCGCGUAGGCGGGAGAGCCAGUCAGAUGUGAAAUUCCAAAGCUCAACUUUGGAGCUGCAUUUGAAACUACUCUUCUCAAGAGGGAUGGCGGAGAAAGCGGAAUUCCACGUGUAGCGGUGAAAUGCGUAGAUAUGUGGAAGAACACCGGUGGCGAAAGCGGCUUUCUAGCUAUCACCUGACG